GAUGAACGCUAGCGGCAAGCCUAACACAUGCAAGUCGAACGGUAACUUUUGGUGCUUGCACCGAAAGACGAGUGGCGAACGGGUGCGUAACGCGUAUGCAAUCUACCUUUUACUAGGGUAUAGCCCGGAGAAAUUUGGAUUAAUCCCCUAUAAUAUCAUGAAUUCGCAUGAUUUUAUGAUUAAAGCUUCGGCGGUAAAAGAUGAGCAUGCGUCCUAUUAGUUAGUAGGUGAGGUAACGGCUCACCUAGACUACGAUAGGUAGGGGUCCUGAGAGGGAGAUCCCCCACACUGGUACUGAGACACGGACCAGACUCCUACGGGAGGCAGCAGUGAGGAAUAUUGGACAAUGGACGAAAGUCUGAUCCAGCUAUGCCGCGUGCAGGAUGACGGCCCUAUGGGUUGUAAACUGCUUUUAUACAGGAAGAAAAAAUCCGACGUGUCGGAUCUUGACGGUACUGUAAGAAUAAGGAUCGGCUAACUCCGUG
rnacentral:rRNA from 1 species